rnacentral:miRNA from 1 species
UCUGAUUCUCCAUGUAUUAGGAUGGUGCAAAAGUAAUCACGGUUUUUGGCAUUGAAAGGAAUAGCAAAAACUGCAAUUACUUUUGCACCAAUUUGUAAGUAAGUCACUGUCUUCAG